rnacentral:lncRNA from 1 species
AGACAAUGAACCUUAAUUGUCGUUGUUGAACGGGAAAAAUCUAGGAUCAAGCUAAAUAUUGCGCAGAUCGACAUCUGCAAGAGGAAUGAUCACGGGCUGCAAGCACUUGUUUCGGCAACAAAGAUCUCCCGUCUGUCAGAGGAUAAAUCCACUUGGCAUCACUGUGCGACUGAAGCACGAAGAUGCGGCGAACACGGCACAGACCCCUGAAGGACCCCUGCACGGCAUCAGGGUGAGGCUGCCAAAAAAGAGAGCGCUGUACAAGUGUGGACAUUCUGGGAGAUGGAUUGUUUUACAGCAUGCGAGAUAUACCCUCACUUUCCGACAUGAUCAAUUACCCCUCAGGUGCUGGAUGUCGGACAAGUCGUUGCUGGGAACUUCUGUGGAG